UACGGGGGGGGCAAGCGUUGUUCGGAAUUACUGGGCGUAAAGGGUGCGUAGGCGGCGCGGUAAGUCGGGUGUGAAAUCUCGGAGCUUAACUCCGAAACUGCAUUCGAUACUGCCGUGCUUGAGGACUGGAGAGGAGACUGGAAUUUACGGUGUAGCGGUGAAAUGCGUAGAUAUCGUAAGGAAGACCAGUGGCGAAGGCGGCUCACUGGCCCGAUACUGACGCUGAGGCACGAAAGCGUGGGGAGCAAACAGG
rnacentral:rRNA from 1 species